UAUCUAGUUUUUUCUCAGCACAAAAGUUCAUGAACCUAUAAAUUUUAUGUCCUAAUGAAUAAUUUCAGAUGUGAUAAUCUUGGCUUUUAUUUAUUUAAUUUAUUAUGCAUAGGGUUUGGGAAGAGGGUGUUGCAGGGUGCUGGAGGGGUGGGGUGGGGUGGGGUGGGGUGUGGGGUGGGAAUUUGGGGUUCGGGUUAAUAUGAGGGCGUUAUGUUGAUCAAUUACCUAAAAUUUUAAAAAAAUUACACAAAUAUUAUUUUUUUUGAAAAAAGUACAAGAAAAAAUUUAAUGUUUUAAACAAUUUUCAAAGAAAACAUUAAUUUUUUAUUUUAUUUUAUUAAAAUCAUAAAAUUUUAAAUGCAAGCCUUUUAUCAAUGUUUGUUGGAUGCAUGCCUAACGAAUAGAAUACAAGACAAAUAAUAAUAGCAUCUCUUUCCUUACAAACAUAGUAAAAAUGACAUGUUAUAUGACAUCUUUUUAAAGUUCGUGUAUAUUUUUUUUAAAUUGUCCUAAAAUAUAAAGGGUCAUAGCUCUCAAAAACUCUGGGCAGUCUAGCUUGUCUAUUGGACUGUGAUUAGUAUUUCUCUUCAAUUAAAAAUGAUUUCGAGCUAAUUAAUUAUUUACAUAUACGGAGCUUAAAAGUCAUACGUACUUUAUUCUUACAAAUAUUCUACGAAGAAAAUUCUACAAGAAUAACGUGGUGUGGGUAUUUUAGUAACCUAGUGUGAAGGCACGUGCGAUGCACGUGGUGGAUUUGCUAAAUUGGGUCAUUGUAUCGCCAUAUAAGGUUCAUCUAUAUUAUGGCCGGCCUAGUUUGUAAUGAAAUGACUUUGUUAAAAUUAUUUUUGUCAUUGGUUAAUGUUUUUAAUUUUUUGGUCAAUUUUUGAUUUUUUUUCAUUCCAUCUUCAAAUUCAUCAAGGAAUUGAUUGAAUAUAAUAUAUUUUUUCUUAGAAAAAACAAUACUAAAAUCUAAAUUAUUUUUCAAAAUUUAAUAAAAUAAGUAAUAUUCAAAAGAAAUGUAUGACUAAUUUGUAAUUCUUUGGGAAGAACUUUUCGAUAUCAUUAUCCAACAAUAUUUUAAAAUAAAUUUGAACUUGCAAUAGAAGCAUCAGAACUAAUUUUGAACUAUUGUCAAGAUUUCCUCAAGAGCUAUUUUUUUAAAAAAAAUAAAAAAUUAGCCUUAUAUUUAGGGAUUUUAAUUAUUUUCUCUCAUUACAAAAAACACCAAUUAAAAUAAAAAUAAAUAUUAUCUUUAAAAAAAUAAUAAUAAAAUUUAUUUUCUAUGUAUGUUUAGAUUAGAAGCCCUUAAAAUUAAAAUUAAUAUAGAUCAAUUUUAAAAUAAAGAUUUUUAUAUUGAUAAUAAGUUUAUUUUUUUAAAUACGUUUCGUUAGGAGUACUUUAAAAGAAAGUAAAUUAUGAGAUUCAAUUUUUGUUUUUUUUAACGAAAUUACGUGUUGAUAAAAAAUUAAAAAUCACAAAUUAAAUAGUUUUUACCAUCACAUUGUAUUUUUGUUUAACAAAGAAUAAUAUUUGUGGUUUUUAAUGGAUGUCUUUGAGAAAUAAAAAUUAAAAACUCUAAUAUUAGUUCAAUCUUAUCGUUUUUGUAUAAAAAAAUUUCAUUGGAAAUCUUGACAGUCAAGGAUGGAUCUAGGGGAGGGAAUCACACCCCCAAAAGUUUGAAAAAAAUCGCUAAUUACACUAUAAAUUUUAAUAUAAUUUAAAAAUUAUGUAGGUUAGCCCCCAAAAAUUAUAUACUUUCGCCCCCAUAGUAAGAAUUAUGGAUCCAUAACAAUAAUUUUUAUGAAAUUAUAGGAAAUAUGACUAUCAGUGAAAUUUAUACCUCCAUGUAUAACUGUAUUUUGUAGACCAAGUUUCUCUCAACUUCAAGUCAAUUCCACUGCACUCUCUCUCCAUUGUGUGAACACAUCACUAUGAGCAUGGUACAUAAUAAAUGGUACAUCUCCUUCACAAACAAACGUGUCUUUAAUUUUCUAGUAGCACAUACAACGAAUAAUAAUGUGAACCAAUAAAUGGUAUGUCUUUAAUUUUCUAGUGGCAGAUACACCUAAUAGUCAUGUGAACGAAUAAAUGGUAUGUCCUUAAUUUUCUAGUGGCAGUUACACCAAAUAGUCAUGUGAAACCAAUAAAUGGCUGUCUUUAAUUUUUUUAGUGGCAGAUACACCUAAAUGGUACGUCUCCUUCUUGACUAUCAUGUGCAUCUACCAUUAGAAAAUUAAAGACGUGUUAGUGUGUGAAAGAGAUGUACCGUGCACCAAUAAUUGUCAUAAAUUGAACACAUGACUAUUAUUGGUGCAGGAUGCAUAAUUUAGGACAAUUAUUGGUGCAUGAUAGAUAUUAUAGAGCACGCUGUUUGUGUGACGCCACGGGAAGCAGCCACAAAAAAUCAGGGCUGAGCCCUAUGAAGAUAAGUGGGGUUAAUUGAUCCUACUGAGAAAAAAAUUACACUAUUUUUUUAAAUAUAAUUUAUUAUAAAUAUAAUUUUAACCCACAAAAAUUUAAUAAUUUGUCCUAAAUUUUAUAAAUUCUAUAAUUUUGACCCCACUGAAUAUUCAUUUUGGCUUCGCUCCUCACAACAACAGAUAUGACCCACCACGGAGGUGAAGGUGAAAAACAGGAGAAUCUCGGCCACAACAACAGAUAUGACCCAUCACGGAGUUUGGAAACAGUCACGACUGUUUGUGUGGAGGUGAGCAAAUGGAGAAUCUCAGCCACAACAAUAGAUAUAACCCGCCACGGAGGUGAAGGUGAGCAACAGGAGAAUCUCAGCCACCACAACAUAUAUGACCUACUACGGAGUCUGAAAAUAGUCACGACUGUUUAUGUGAACGUGAGUAACAUGAGAAUCUCGGCCACAAAGACGUAUAUGACCCACCAUUGUGUUUAGAAAUAGUCACGCCUCAAAGUGGCCUUUCACUUGUACCAAUUUUGCAGUGGUCAUUUACCUGUUUGUAAAAGUUGGGGAAAAUAAGGUGUGGGCUUGGGGCCAUGAAAGCUUUUUGUUGAGUUUUGUUAAUGAAUCAAUAAUAGACUCUGCUUUUGAUAAGUACCCGUCCCUGUGUCACUUUUUUGGAAGAGUCGAUGAGAUUUGUCAGAACCAAACAUAUUGAGUCAUGGAAACCCUCAUUAUAAACCCAAGUAGACUGAUUUGGAUAGAAAAUCAAAAAUUACAAGGUUCAAAUUGUAAGAUUUAAAAAUACAAGGUCAAAUUUUGGAUGGAUAAUAAAACUUACAGGGAUCAUUUUUUUAAUUUACCCUAUAUUUAUAAUGCUUCAGUUGAGUCCCACUUUGGAAUUGGGUUUUAGAGAAAGCUUUUUUUGGUGGGAGGAAUCUAUUGAUGCAAAUAUGUUGAUCGUAAUUAAGUUAGUUGAUCUACUCCCAAAGGUGAUAUAUUAAAGGAAUAGUUGAGAUGAUGGGAUUUGAGAUGAGUGGUUGUCACAGAAACAGUGAAUUAGACGUUAAAGAUAAUAGGUCUAUCGAGUUUUUUCAUAGCACAAAAGUUCAUGAAUCAAUAAAUCUUAUGUGCAAGAAUGAAUUUCAGAUGUGAUAAUCUUUGGCUUUUAUUUAUUUAAUUUUAAUACGCAUAGAGUUUGGGAAGAGGGUGUUGCAGGGUGCUGGACUGGGGUGGGUGGUGGAUUGGGGAGUUAAGAUGAGGGCAUUAUGGGUUUUAUUGUGUUUGCACUGCAAUCAAUUACCUAAAAUUCUAAAAACAAUUACACAAAUAUUAUUUUGUUAAAAAAAUUACAAGAAAAAUUCUAAAGUUUUAAACAAUUUUCAAACAAAAUAUUAUUUUUUUAUUUUUUUAUUAAAAUCAUAUAAUUUUUGAAUUAUAUAAAUGCAAGCCUUUUAUCAAUGUUAGUUGGAAGCAUGCUUAAGAAGAUAACUAAUAAUCGCAUUUCUUUCCUUGCAACGUGGUAAAAAUGACAUGUUAUAUGACAUCUUUUUAAAGUUCAUGUUGUUGGCCCAAAAAGCAAUCCAAGAGGGGAGAUGAAUUGGGUUUUUAUAAAUUAAUAACAAUUAUGAUUAAUUAAAACUUAAUCUAAUUAAUCAAGCUAUAGAUGAAUUUAUAUGCAAAACAAUAUAAGUAAGAAUUAAGGAAAACAAAGAUUUACCGAGAUUCGAUCACAACGUGUGAUCUAUGUUCUCCCAAGACCUCCGCAAAUCCCAUUUCCAUCUCAUAAUAUUAUUCCUUUAAAUAAUUAUCAUCUAGGGAGAGACUUAACUUAAUUAUGAUCAACAGAUUGUCAUCAAGAGAUUCCUCCCAUCCAUAAAAAGCUUCUUCUAAAACUCAAAUUCCAAAUUAGGACUCAACUGAAGCAUUAUAAAUAUAUGGUAAAUUAAAAAAAUGAUCCCUGUAGUUUUAUCCAUCAAAAAUUUGGACCUUGUAUUUUUAAAUCUUACAAUUUUAACCUUAUAUUUUGAUUUUUUGUCCAAAUCAGUCUAAUUGGUUUAUAAGGAGGGUUCCAUGACUCAAUAUGUUUGGUUUUUGACAAUCUCAUCGACUCUUCCAAGAAUGUGGAGGUACUUGUCGAAAGCAGAGUUAUUAUUGAAUCUCAUUAACAAACUCAGCAAAUAAGCUUUCAUGGCCCCAAGCCACACCUAUUUUUCCAACUUUACAAAUAGCUAAAUGACCACUGCAAAAUCGGCACAAGUGGAAGGCCACUUUGAGGCGUGACUAUUUCUAAACUCCAUGGCGGGUCAUAUAUGCUGCUGUGGCCGAGAUUCUCAUGUUGUUCACUUUCACAUAAACAGUCGUGACUUUUUUCAAACUCCGUAAUAAGUCAUAUAUUUUGUGGUGGCUGAGAUUCUCUUGGUUCUCACCUUCAUCUCCGUGGCAGGGCAUAUCUAUGGUCGUGGUUGAGAUUCUCCAUUUGCUCACCUCCACACAAAUAGUCAUGACUAUUUCCAGACUCCGUGAUGGGUCAUAUAUGUUGUUGUGGCUGAGAAUUUCUCCUUUUUUUCUCACUUCACCGUAGGAGGGAGAAGAAAAAAAUAGAAGGCGGAGCGAGUAAGGGAAGAGGAAAGAGAGGAAUACGAGAGAAGGCAAGAGGGGCCAUUGGAGGGGAUGGAUGGUGUAAGAAGAGGGGAAUGUGGAAGGAGAAGAUGAAGAGUGAGAAAGGAAAAGUAAAAGGGGGGGAAAAAGUGGAAGAAAUUGAAAGAGGACAAAGAGGGAAAGGGCCAGGAAGAAAAAAGACAGUUAAAAGACGGAGCAAAAAGAGAGGGGGGAGACAAGAAAUCCGUGGCGGUAAUUCUAUUGUCGUUGAUAAAAUUCUCCUGUUGAUCACCUUCACACAAAUAGUUUUGACUAUUUUCAGACUCCGUGACGGGUCAUAACUGUUGUUGUCAAGAGCGAAGCCAAAACAAAUAUUUAGUGAGGUCAAAAGAGCUUAAAUUUAUGUUCAGCGGUGGCAAAAGAGCUAGAUUUAUAUUUAAUGAGGUCAAAAUUAUAGAAUUUAUAAAAUUUAGGACAAAUUACUACUUUUGGUGGGGUUAAAAUUGUAUUUAUGAUAAAUCAUAUUAAAAAAAUUAGUGUCAAUUGCCUACUUGUCCUCAUAUAGCUCCAUCCCUGGUUGUUGUGGCUAAGAUUCUCCUGUGGCUCACCUUCACACAAAUAGUGUGCUCUAUAAUAUCGUAUCGUGCACCUAUAGUUGUCCUAAAUUAUGUACCAUGCACCAAUAAUAGUCGUGUGUUCAACUUAUGACCAUUAUUGGUGCAUGGUACGUCUCUUUCACACACUAAGCAGGAUUUUAGGUCAGGGGAUUAAAGUGUAAAUUUAUAAUAUAUUUUAAGAGAAAUUAAAGUGUAAAAAAUUAAAAACCUAGACUAAAUUUUAUAUUUUUUUAUAAGUGAGGGGCUUAAAAGCUUCUUGGAUCCGCGAUUGCUUACACGGCUUUAAUUCUCUAGUAGUAGUGUGUAUCUACAACUAGAAAAUUAAACACUUGAUUAUUAUGUGUAUUUGCCACUAGAUAAUUAAAGACACGUUAGUGCGCGAAGAAGAUGCAUCAUUUAUUAUGUAUCAUACACCCAGUCAAGUGUACACACUAAACGUGACUUGACUUGACUUGAAGUAGAGAGACACAUGGUCUAUAAAAAGAAGUUAUACCUGGAGGUAAGAAGAAUAAAAAAAAGUUAUACCUGGAGGUGAGAAGAACCAAAUCCACGCUUUUUCCACUGCCACCGUCCAAGUUAUUUAUACCCUAUAGAAUUUGCAGGUUUGCCUUCCUCUCUCUCUCUUAUUUUUUGCUUAGUUCUUGCUUUCUCCCAGUGGAAUAAGUAUAAAGUUGUGCGAACGUUUGCUCUACAAUUGAUAGAUCUGCUUUAGAUUAGCUCUUAAUUGCAUCCAAAUACUGUGAAUCUCUCUCUCUCUUUCUCUCUCUAAAUAUUUUAUUUUUAAAUAUUCUUAAUCUAAACAUAUUUAAAAGAUAAUUUUGCUAUCAAUUUAGUUUUUUAAUAAGAAAAUAUUUAUUUAUUUUAUUUGAUAUAUUGGGAAAAAUUUUGAAAGCCCUAAACAUGAGGCCAAUAUUGUCAUUUUUAUAAAAAAAAAAAAUAGUUUUAUGGCUGAAUCUUGACAAUAAUUUCAAAAAUAAAAGAGUUCAGUACUAUUUCAGAAAUCACUUAAGAGAUAGUUGUAUUUGUCAUAACCUCGUGGAGGUUAGUAAAUUUACCCUAUUUCAUUUGGUUAGGCGUGCCAAAAUGUGAAAGUGACAAUUCUGGUCAAAUAGUACAUUAAAAUAAAUUUAAUUUUAUAUUAAUAUUAGCUUAUAAAAUAUUUAAAUUAUAUAGGUUCGUGACUCUACAAUUUAAAUUAAUAUUGCAUUUCUUACAUAAAUUAUAAAUUUUGUGUCUUAUAAUCAAAAUCCUCCACCCAAAAUAAAUCUCUUAUGGUCUUGAUGUGUUUUAUGUGGUUUUUUCCAACGUAGACAGAUUUGGCUUUUCCAAACCAAGUGCGAAAUUUGGCAGAAAAGAUUUGGUAAAGUUAUAAGCGUAAUUUUCAUCUUUAGUCCUUGUAUUGUUAUUAAAGUUGCACUUUGAUCCUCAUAGUUUUAAUUUAAAUAAUUAGCACACUUUGAUUUUAAUUUGAUUUCAAUAUAAUCUAUCCAUCAAUACCCGUUAACAAUUUGGACGGAGUGAAAGCUUUCAAAAACUAUAGACAAACUACAGGGACAAAUUAUGAGUCUCAUGUACUCAAUUUCUGUCUAAAUUUUUUAACACUUGUUAUAAUAUGGUCAGACUUUUUGCCUUAAGGCUUGAGAGAGAGUUCUGAGAUGGCAAAAUACUUGGAAUCAACGGUCUUCCUUUUAGCUUCUUUCAUUCCAGAGAAUUAUUCCACUUUAGCCUAUGCUAUUUGGGCAUGCCGCAUGACGGAGAGAAAUGAUUCAAAGGUUCCUAGAGACUAGAGCCCCUUUAGAAUCAUAAUAUUAUAUGCAUUUCUUGGUAGGUCUCCUAGAUGUGUGGUUAUAGAGCUUACCUAUUUAUCAAAAAUUUGGUGUGAGAAAAGAAAAAAAAAUCUAAUUAGUGUAAAAAUCACAUGGCCUAAAGUAGUGCUUCAAGAUUUCUUACAACUACGAUAUGUGAAUAACCAUAAUAUCAAAUUCUUUAAAGAAUUAGGGCAAUAACAUUGAAUAUUCUACCAUUUUUCUUAUCAAAAAAAGAAUAUAAUCGCCAAAUGAGAUUGAACGACCCGGACCCGGGCCGUUAAUGGUAAUCCGCAUAUCGUAUCUCCGAAUAUACUAUCAGAGCGCUAAAGCCUCAAAUAUUCAAUUAUCAGAGUCUUUUUUAUACACGGUCUCCAAAAAAAUUAAUACAAAUAUCAUUAACAUUCAAGUCUUCUCCGACCCAUCUGCACUACCCGGUCACCGCCGCCUGAAAAAUAAUUAAGCGGGAGUAUACACUACAACUGGAAUAUGCUCAAACGAGUACAAUAAUUCAUCAAAGAAUCAUACCCGGUCUUUCCUGGUACGCAAACUGGUGGCCGGCCUCGCCCACUCACUAGCCUUUUGGCUAUUUCCGGUGCCAAGGUUAUUUGCAGACCACCAAAAUCCGUACCAUUCAAUACCAUGGCACUUCAGCCAAUACACAUCAUGAUUUCAACAAUAUCAGGAAUUUCAAUAAAUUUAUGGAUUUCAAUAAACUAUCAACAGCUAGAACAAUGCUCAAAGGGAGUACAAAAUAGAAAUAACUGAGAAAUAACUCCGGAGAUUUAGAAAAAGCAGAUUGUAUACCCCUGCUUACCUCAAAUUAAAAUUGACACAUUUGAUAUGAAGAUCUGCUCCCAUGAUAUCAUACUAAAAUUGUGCCCAAUCGAAUCAUCUCACCGUGUUGAUUCACAUCCUACUUCUAAUGAUUAAAAAUAAAAUACCAUAUAAUUUCUAAACUACAUUUCUUUCUUUCUAUCAGUGUCUUUAUUUCUUUUCUUAAGCCUCUGUUUCUCUUUUCAUUUUAUAGACUUUUGUCUUUCACAGAAGACAAAUCAACCAAGCGGCCAUGCGUGUGUAACCAUUGUGCGUGUCAAAUUAAUUGGUAAAACUUACACUUUAGCCCCUUCAACUUUUAAAUAAUUAUAUUUCUAAAUACCCUUUUUCAUUUACCUCAAAAGUAUUAAUCUUUAAUUAACCCCAAUAAUUCAUAUUUAUUUAUUAAAUACAGAUAAUGAAAGAUUGGGUUAUUACAUUCUUCCCCUUAAAAAGAAUUCGUCCUCGAAAUUAGAAAGUCUUGUUUCAGAAAUACACGUUCCACUGCCCAUCUGACAAAAAAAUUACUUUGGGCAAUCUAACUAAAAUGCAAAAAACCUAUAUCUACGAAGAUCUAUCACCUUAAACAUCCCCACACCGGUCCCAUGUAAGCCAAAGCCUAAGCUUCUGUACCAAAUGGAACGACACGACCCGGGCCGUGAAUGGUACUCGGCAAUAUCGUUCCAAAUAUACUUAUCAAGAGAGUAAAAGCCUCAAAUAUUCAAUUAUAGAGUCUUUAUUAUACAAUGUCUCUAAUAAAAUUAUACAAAUAAUCAUUAAAAUUCAAGUCUUUCUCCUGACCCAUCUCGCACUACCCGGAAUCCCCCGACCGCCUGGAAAAAUAAAAAUAAGCAGGGAAGUAUAAAAUACAACUGGAAUAGAUCAACGAGUCAAUUUUUUUUUUAAUUCAUCAAGACCUCAUACCCGUCGUUCCUGGUCGCAACUGGUGGCGGCCUCGACCACCUCAACCUGCCUUUUCUGGAUAUUUCCGGUGCAAAGGGUAUUUGACAGACUCACCCAGUCCGUACCAUUCAAUACCAUGGCACUUCAGCAAUAACACAUCAUGAUUUCAACAAAUCUAAUGAAUUUCAAUAGGAUAGCAACAGAUAGCACACAUAUCAAAGGGAGUACAAAUCAGAUAAUUGAAGAAAUAAAUCCGGAGAUUUAGAAAGCAUAUUGUAUACCUCAUGCUGACUCAAAUUAAAAUUGAAACCAUUUGAUAUGAAGAUAUGACUCCCAGGAUAUCAUACUAAAAUUGUGCCUCAAUCCGACAUCAUCUCACCGUUGAUUUCACAUCCUACUUCUAACGAUUAAAACUAAUCAUACCAUAUAAUUUCUUAACUCCCUUUCUUCUUUCUAUCAGUCUUUAUUUCUUUCCUUAAGCUCUGUUUCUUUCUUUCAUUUAUAGACUUUUGUCUUUCACAGAAACAAAUCAACCAAGCCGGCCAUGCGUGUGUCACCGUCGUGCGUGUCCAAUUUACUGGCUAAAAUUACACCUUUAGCGCCCCUUAAAACUUUUAAAUAUUAUAUUUUCUAAAUACCCUUUUUAUUUUACCUCAAAAGUUAUUCAAUCUUUUUGUUUUCUAAUUUAACCGCAAUAUUCUAUUAUUUAUUAAAAUCCAGAUAAUGAAAGAUUGGGUUAUUAUAAGUAUAUCCAAACUAGGUUGACACAACCUGAUCAAUCAUGUCCUGUCCAACUCAAAAAUGUGGACAAGUACAACAUCACCACCCCAAUAAAUGUAAGUAAACAAAAUCAAGACAGCCUCGACACACAGAAAAAAAAUCCCCUCCUCUUCAACAAGAACAAAAGGAGUAAAAUUAACUUAAAGGGGAAAUCAGUAAGGCCUGGAUGAUCCCUGGCAGUUCUUCAUAGUAUAAACUUCAUCCAAUUGCAACCAAUUAGAAUCUUGAAAGCCCGAUAUUUUGGUAAGCUAUGACCCAUGAAGCUGUUCUUGAUUAGUUAAAAUCUGCAACUUCAACCCAACUAGACCGGUAGCCUUCAAAAACCAGUUUAUCCAUUGAUAUAGAGCACUCAUAACGUUGCACAAAACAAGGGAUUUCCAUAUAUAUAUAUAUAUAGAUAUAUAUAUAUAUAAUAUUAUAUAUAUUUAUAUAUUGUAAGGGGACACAAAUACACAAUUUACGUCCACCUGACCUUAUUACAGGGACCUCGAACGGUGUCGGGUGAGCAAGCUCGGUCGACCCUGUGCCGGAGUCGUGUUCACAUUCGAGGGAACGCCGGGCCUUGCUAGGGCAGUGAUCUCCGUUCGAGCUGCGAAAACCAUGAGCUCGGGGACCUUCUGCGCCGGAGCUCGGUGCAAUCGCGAUUAAAGGUACCUUCUGAGUCAAAGCUUUCGUUACAUCCGAGGUGCCGCUAGUCAGCGAGCUCUGAAUAAUAACUGUCUUAGAAGUUUGGACGAAGGAUGAUAGCCAGCGUAAUUUCUGAGGGAUGUCAGGGGAUAAAGUGGACUUGCAUGAAAGAAACAUUUUGUAAGCCCAUUCAUUGCAGUCGAUAAGAGACGCCGACAGUUGAUCAUUAGCGACCAGCCACGCCUCAAGGGUAUGGCGGUGUCAGCAGCCUACUCACUGACACAACGAUUGACGUCUAUCGAUACGCGCCGAACCAUAGCCUGUCGAGUGAUGGGACAGCUGGCAUGUCAAGCCGCACACUGGGUUGGAACACAAAAGGGAACGUUGUGGUUCUCAAUGAGGUAGGUGCAAUUGGACUAAGAAAAGGAUACACACUCUCUCUCUCUAAGAUUACUAAUAGUUUUAAUUUAAAUAAUUAGCACCCUUUAGUUUUGAUUUAAUUUCAAUGUAGUUCAUCCAUCAAUAUCCGUUAUCAAUUUGGAUAUAGUAAAAGCUUUCGAAAACUAUGGACAAACUACAGGGACCAAUUAUGAGCUUCCCGUGCUCAAUUUCUCUAAAUUUUUUAACAUGUGUUAUAAUAUGGUCAGACUUUUGCCUUUAGGCUGGGGAGAGAGUUCUGAGAUGGCAUUGGCAUCAAACUGUAUUCCUUUUAGCUUCUUUCCUUCCAGAGAAUUAUUCCACUUUGGUCUAUGCUAUUUGGGCAUGACAGAGAGAUGAUACAGAGAUUCCUAGAGACUAGAGCCACUUUAGAAUCAUAAUAUUAUAUACAGGUCUCUUAGAUGUGUCUGGCUAUAGAGCUUAGGCUUUGUAUUCAUCAAAUAUUUGGUGUGAAAAAUUAAAAAGAAUCUAAUUAGAGUAAAAAUUACUAAAACUAAAGGCCUGAAUUAAUGCACAAUAAAGAUAGUAGUGUUUCAAGAGUUCUUAAUGCACAAUAUUCUGUAAUUUAUGAAGGGUCUUAGAAUUACUCUAUUGGAAAUGGUAUUUUUCUUACCAACAAAAGUUCUUACUAAUGCACAAAAGAGUAACUAAAUUCAGAUCCAAAUGUUCCACAAAGGUAGAAUAGGAGAGUUUUAACAUAAAACCCCACACCUCUUCCCAUUUACAGCUCAAAUCAGCAUUACAUUGUAUCAUUAUAUCUAUGAGAUCUAUUAAACUAUCAGCAGAUUGUCAUAAACAGAAAACCUCCCAAAAUAAGCUUUUACCAAAACUCAAAUUUAUUAUGAGAUACAUUGUAGAUUUCUGAGUGUUGAUAAUAAAAAAUAACCUAAAGAAUCUCAUCCUUUAGAUUUUUUUGUUAAAUGCAAAGGUGUCUAUCGUGUUAAAGUAUCCCCACCAAAACCAUCAAGUUACGAAAGAAUGGAAAAAUUCUAAUCUAGCAAGAGAGGAAACACAAGCAAUUGGGAACUUCAGUUGACAUUAACAAGGACUAGUCACUCUAUGAGGAAAAGGUAGACAACUUGUCUCCCCUAUCCCCAAAUUGUUUCAUCUUUAGAGUUCCCAAAAGCCUUCGACAAGUCAACGAGAGAGCCUACACUCCUGUCAAAGUCUCGAUUGGCCCCCUUCACCAUGGCAAAGACGACCUAAAACCCUUGGAAGAGCAUAAAUGGAGGUACCUAAAGGAUUUUCUACAACACAGCCAGAAGCCUUUAGAGUACCUUGUCGAGUUUAUCAAGAAAAGGGAAGAAAAAAUUCGAGAACGUUAUGCAGAAACCAUAAGCUUUGACAGUGAUAAGUUUGUGGAAAUUAUUCUUGUGGAUGCUGCCUUCAUCAUUGAAGUCCUGUUAAAGUACAGGUAUUCCAAUCUAAGAACUUCAGGUGAUCGUAUAUUUGGGCAGUCAAUGAUGAUUCUGGACAUAUUCCAGGACUUUUUACUGCUUGAAAAUCAACUACCAUUUUUUGUUCUCGAUGAACUUUUUGAAAUGAUUGGCUAUAUCGAAAAUGUGUCGACUCCUAUCUUCAUUAACUUUGCCUAUGACGUCUUAGACGAGCUUGAUGGACUAGAGGACAUAAUUCCAAAGGAUAUUGAUUCUACAAGAGCGGAGCAUUUCAUUGAUCUUGAAAGAAAUCUUUUCACACCAAGAGAACACUCACAGCCGCAACAAAGGGGAGAAAAGGGCCUUUAAAAUCACCCUACUGCGAAAGAGCUCCACAAUGCUGGCAUACCAGUUAAGAGGAGUUCAAGCAAAACCUAUUUGACAUAAGAUUUAUGAGUGGUGUUCUGGAAAUCCCACAAAUUGUAAUAACUGGUAGAACAGAAGUUUGGCUACGAAACCUUCUUGCCUUUGAGCGGUGUCUUUAUAAUGAGUGUUACAUGACUCAAUAUGUCUGGUUUCUUGAUAAUCUCAUCGACUCUUCCAAGGAUGUGGAGUUUCUUGUUGAAAGUGGAGUUAUUGAACAUUGGCUAGGUGACAAUGAAGAUGUAUCGAAUCUCAUUAACAAACUCAGCAUAGAAACUUUCUUCUAUGGAAACAACUUCUAUUUUUCGAAACUUUGUGAAGAGCUAAAUGACUACUACAAAAUCCCUUGGCACAAGUGGGAGGCCACCUUCAGACGUGAUUAUUGCAAGACUCCAUGGCGGGUCAUAUCUAUUGUUGCAGCUGCAAUUCUCCUGUUACUCACCUUCAUAUCAAAUGUGUGCUUCCGUUUCCAUUAUAUCAGUUGGUAAGUGAGAGAUGAAUAUAUAAAUCUACUUCCAUAUAUUGAUUGUCCUUUACUUUCUUUUCUUCCCACCAUCAUGUUUUAACUUACUACCUAUUGAUAGCACAUAGUGGCUUAGUGUUGGUGUGUGUGUGGAGAGAGAGAGGAGAGAGAGUCAGGGUGCUGGUGGUGGUGCGGCGUUGCGGUCAUAGGGCAAUGGCGUCCGACGAGGGAGAAAGAAGACGUUGAAAUUCUCACUAUUUCUACUACUCCAACCAUGCACUUCUAUUUCCAUCUCUAUUUUUUAACAACUCACUCAUUUCUUUCAAAAUUCCACUAUUCCCUCACUUUUCUUCCAAAUUUUCUCACUGUUUAUUUUAAAAUUCAAUUAUAUAACUAAUUUCCCUCAAAAAUCAAAUAUCUUAUUUUUUAUAAUAUUAUUAAUUCUUUCCCAAUAUUAGUCUUAUUUAAAGAUAUUGGUUGAUAUUUUUUUUAAAAGUGUAAGUUAUAUAAUUAAUUGGACUUAUAUACUACAAGUUGUAUGUAUUUUAUAAAAAAAAUCCACCAUAAAGUACAAAAGAGCGAUGGGGUACUUGAAUUUUGUUUUAAAAGGCGAAUGGAUAAAGUUGAUAUUUUUCAAAGUCUUGGAGGAAGAGCCUCCAUUUGUGAGAGGAGUCUCCAAACCAAAUUUGGAGGUGGGUUGGAGUAGUUCCUACCUCCAAAAUAGAGUUUUGUAAAACUCUAAAAUUGAGACCAAAGUCACUCCAACCAUGCUCUAUUUUGAGCCUCCAAAAUAGAGAUCUUAAUUUGAGUCUUCAUAUUUGGAGAUUCAUCUCUAUUUUUAUUUUAUAUUAUAUUUUUUUGUAAAACAAAAGUAUAAAUUUUAAAUUUUAAAUUUAUUUUUUAUAAAAUUAAUAUUAUUAAAAAGAUAUUGAUAAGACUUUUAAAUUGAGAUCAAUAUUAAACAUAAUAAAAGUUUAAAAAUUAUAAUUUAAAUUUUUAGAAAAAAACUUGUGAUUUUUUUGAAGAGAGAUGAAAUGGAAUAUUUUAGUUGGUGUUGACAUAAAUAACAUAAAAACUAUAAACACACUUUUUAAAUUAAAAAUAGUGUUUUAAGUCUCCAUUUUGGAGACUUGAUCCCAAGGGUCAGAAAAAUUAGUAUAAUUGUCAUUCAAUCUGAUGCUUCCGUGCUCGUCUUGGCUGGUCGUACUAGUAGCACCACCGACAUCAUCGCCAAUGCCACAGGUCUCAUACUAUUUCUACCCAAUUUUCUCUCUCUCUCUCAAAAUAUUGUCUUCAUUUAAAGCCGAAAUAUAGUGUGAAUUGUUAAAAAAGAUAAAAGAAAAAAAGGAAAGACAGAGAACAUAACACAAAUUUGGUAGAUUUUUUUUUUAGAUUUUUUAGUAACUUUAAGUUUGGAGUUUUUUUUGCCUUAAGUGAAUUUUUUUUCUUUUCAGUUGAUCAAAAUGUUAUACUUCUCGGUUUCUCUUGAUAAGAGCAAUUAAUUGAAAAAUAAAAAAAAUAAUUAAAUUUGAAAAAAAAAUCACUAAAGAUAAAAAAAUUAGUUAAUUUGUCGAGUAUAACUUUUUUUUUGUCUUUAGUGAACUUUUUUAUUAAAAAGAUUUUGAUGAGACUUUUAAAAUGAGAUUAAUAUUAAGCAUAAUAAAGUUAAAAAAAUUAUAAUUUAAAUUUUUUUAAAAAAAUUAAAAAAUUAAUGAUUUUUUUUGCAGAUAGCGAUGGAAAU
rnacentral:lncRNA from 1 species